UACGAAGGGGGCUAGCGUUGUUCGGAAUUACUGGGCGUAAAGGGCGCGUAGGCGGCGUGUCAAGUCAGGCGUGAAAGCCCCGGGCUCAACCUGGGAACCGCGCUUGAGACUGGCAUGCUCGAGUUUCGGGAGAGGAUGGUGGAAUUCCCAGUGUAGAGGUGAAAUUCGUAGAUAUUGGGAAGAACACCGAUGGCGAAGGCAGCCAUCUGGACCGACACUGACGCUGAGGCGCGAAAGCGUGGGGAGCAAACAGGG
rnacentral:rRNA from 1 species